AGGCUUUUCAGUGGUACAAUCCUAAAGAAACCUUAUUUGGUGCCUGUAAGACAGAUGCCUCUCAAAACUCUUAAUUUCAUCUGAAAGAAGGGCAAGCCACAGCCCCCCUGUUUUGUUCAUGAACGGUGGAAUCCUUUGCAUCUAUAAUGCAUUUUCCUAUUGGAAUCGAAGGCUGGAUCAUCUAUCCCAGGGUCUGGAGUCUGGCGCGGAGCCAGGCAAAUUGCAAGUUCCUGCAUCCAUUACAAUUUCACAUGACAGUUACUUGAAGCCGAUCAAGAAAAUCUGGAAAGCUCGAAAGACAACACCCAUUGGGCAAGACAUAUGACUCCAAGCAUCCUCUGCUUACGAAAUGAAAUGAAAUAGCCUAAUAUGAUUCAUCAUUGCAUUUUCUCUCCCAGAAACAUCCGAUUCCCUGUCAUCUUCCAUCAGGGGCUGAAGCUGAGCGGCGCAAUGACAACUAAUGCAUGGGUUUUCCUUCCCUGAAGAGCAAUUGAAGUUGAUUCCUGGGGUACUUAAAGGACUUGGGGACACAGGCCCAUGAUGCAAAUUUGCCUUUGGACAAAUUAAGAUGAUGGGGGCUGGGUCUUAGGAUAUGUAUGUGGUUUAAAAGUGUGUGUGUGAGAGAGAGAGAGAAAAUGAAAACAUAAGGGCAUACCCUCCAACUGUCCCAAUUUUCCAGGAACAGUCCUAGAAUUAUGAAAGCCAUCCUGGCUGCUGAUUUGAUCCCAGUACAGUGGUACCUCAGGUUAAGAACUUACCGUAAUUCAUUCUGGAGGUCCAUUCUUAACCUGAAACUGUUCUUAACCUGAGGUACCACUUUAGCUAAUGGGGCCUCCCGCUGCCGCUGCACAAUUUCUGUUCUCAGCGUGCAGCAAAGUUCUUAAUCUGAGGUACUACUUCUGGGUUAGUGGAGUCUGUAACCAGAAGCAUCUGUAACCCGAGGUACCACUGUAUGUCCCUAUUUCCCUUGCCAGUGCUGCUGCUGCCAGGCUCAGAAAGGAGGUUGAGCCAGCUGUGAGGGAACAUCUUGUUGCCCCUCCAUGGCCUCUCUGUGGCUUCUGCUGUGAACUUCCUCCCUUGGGCAGCUUGUAGCAGCUUCUGGAGAGUGGGCGAGGAGGAGGAGGAGGAGGAGGAGGAGGAGAGGAUGUGGCUGCUAAGGUCCGCAGUCCUGUGUGAUACACUGGCUCUGAGGGGCAGGCAGAAGAAAGGGUGGUCCUGGGUGGGAAGAAAGGUGGAGCGAAGUGGAGCGCAAAGAAGUCUUGAUUUGGAGGGGGGAGGAUGCUUUGUGCAUCUACGUCCAAUCUUGCCCCUUUCUGAAAUUUAUUUAUUGGUGUGUGUUUUUCUUUUGCCUUUGGCAAAAUUGUUGUGUUUAUUCACAACAAUAACAAAAUCCACGACACUGGCAAUAACAAGAUCAGUUUUAAAUGUGUGCAUCAAUAUAGGCAUUCCAAAAGUCUAAAUAUGUAUCUAAAUGAAACCAAUGUAUGAGACUGACGAGCAUGCAUUCUGAAAUAGAAAGGGCAGUGGGAUCUUCAGGGGGUGGGUGAGAAUGUAACUGAUGAAGCAUUAAACCCCAUGGCUCCCUGUCUGAUGUCAUUGCAGGUGGAAAUGUGUAUGCAAACCCGAAUGCCAUUCAUCCGAAGAGAGGUGCAAAAUAGGCCAUCUCCAAGAUUACUCAUUUGCAGAAAGAGAAACUCUCCAACCAUUUGUAUGGACUAAGCAGUACAAUAUAAAAUAAGAUCUGGAAAACUGAACCUCCCUUUUAAAAUGGCAACAGCGUCUUUUAAAGUGAAAAACAAGGUGAGCAGGAACCCCCCUCCCCAUGUAAACUGAAAUGCCUUUGAAAAUACACUUGGGGGAUAUAGAAAGGAAUACUAUGAAACACAUAAAUUAUCCGUGAUAAAAUGUUCCUCUUAAAUUAUAUUAGCCUUACCCCAAACGCUAUGCCCAAGUAAAGCCCAUCUUUCCAAAUCAAGAGAGAGAUUUGUCACCGAUCUAUUUAGAUUCAAUUUAAUCAUUUGAGAAAUGUCACAAGGAACCGAAAUGCCUAAAGAUGUUAUAACCUCUGGGCACCAGUUAGCAUAUAAACAACAUAGCUUUAUGGUGCCCUGUGGCACCAGGGUCAAUGUUAUUAUGCUCAUUAGAGUGUUCAGGGACUGAACAACAACAGCUCACCCUGUGAGUUCAUCAAAAUGAACAAUUUACUUUUUUUCUUUCAUUCCAAACAGAUUUCCUCAUAUGGCUACCAAGCAACUUAAAAACCUGCUAGAAGCAUAUGUAAAACUGCAUUUCUUGUGCACACCAAAAAUGGGAGAGAGACCGUCCCUCAAGCGCUUGAAGGCAGCCUGUGUACAAACAGAAAGUGAAUGACCGGUGGCUCAUCUAGCAAUCAAGCACAACCACCCUUUUGAAGGGCUAGUGGUCCUGCAAGACUUUAUUAAUGCACAAAGGAGCUGCACCCUUUCACCAUUCAAAAGCACUAAACUGGUUGGCAAUGCAAGUGAAAUAUUAUUGACUGUCAGCAGAUGGCACCCUUUCCAUUUCCUAUAUCUUUGGAGCCAGCAAAGCCCCCAAACAGGUGUUUUUUGCAAAUUAUUGUGUCCUUAAGAAGUUCUAGCGUUUGCAAAGAAAGGAAUGGAAAAGCCUUUCCUCGGAGAUGAGGAAGAAGCCACACAGGGACACCUGGAAACAGGUGGGCAGUCAAGGUAGGCAGCCAAGGAAAUGUAUGUCAUUAGAUACAGGUUGAGGUUAUCCCGAUUUGAAUGUUUACACCACUCCAAACAAUGUAUUCUGUCUGAUCUAAACUUUUUUUCUUUUCUUUUCUUUUAAAAUAGCACAACCCUGUAUUAUGUGCAUUCAUAUUGCUGACUUAAAAUUUAACCACUAGAUUUAACGCUUGGAAUGGGAUCUAAAAUGCUUAAGCCAUUCCCAGUGGGUGUUUUCUUUUAAACAGCGGCCAUGACAAGCCCUAUCAAACUGCCUUUGAAAG